GAGAUUGGACUCCUGAACUGGUUA
rnacentral:piRNA from 1 species